CCUGGUGGGCGACUGUCCAUGGGGUCGCAAAGAGCUGGGCACGGCUGAGCAGCUCACACACACACACACACACACACACACACACACUCACACACACUGUGCUGAGCCCGGGGGAUGCCUGUGAGAAGCACUCAUGUACCCAUUCGAAAAAAAAAAAAAAAAAGACAAAUACAGAAACGGGCCAGAAAGCAACUCAAAAGUCUCCAUUGAAGUUUAGUUCUUAAAAUCUGGAUAUAGAAGUAUGGCGAUGAAGAAUGUAAUUUUUUUUAAGGGAACAAAAUGAACUGAAUUUUCAUCUUCAUCUGAGUUGUGUUGCAUGCAAGCUACCUGCGGCAUCUUUCUUGCAGUGGGGAAUACGAGAGUCCUUAGAGCUACGUCACCUAAAAGCACCUGCCCUCCCAAGAGCUACGAGCUUCUUGUUUCUGCAAAAGUGCCAGAAGGCAGACUUUCUCUGUAAAGCGGCUUUACUUUCUCUGUAAGCAGCCGGUGGUUUUUAGGACAUCUUGUUUUUCAUAUUAUUGAAGAAACAUUUUUAACAGAUGAACUUUGUAUCUAGGAGAGAGAUUAUGUCUUCUGACCCCAGUUGGCUUCUGGACUGGAUUCCUUUCAACACGCUGGCCUCUUCCUUGACCAUGUGGUAAUCUUUAUAGUGUUGUAACACAGCAAGCACACCCUCAUUAAUCCUCUUUUUCAACAUUUUCUUGAUCAAGUCAUGUCUGCACUCUUCUAAAUAAGCUUUGGUUUCCGCUUCCCAAUUAAAAAACAACUGUCCUGUUGGGAUUUCAAAAGUGGAAUAGCACUAAUUUUGUAGCGUAAUGUCCUUAUGAAGCAAUCACAUAUGGUAUUUAUUAUGUGCAAGGCACAGUGAAACAUUGCCACAUUGAAUAAACAUAAGAAUCUCACGAGGUGGGCAUUAUCAUGCACGUGCCUGCUCAGUUGUGUCUGACUCUUUUGAGACGCUUUGGAUUGUAACCCACCAGGCUCCUCUGUCCGUGGGAUUCUCCAGGCAAGAACACUGGAGUGGUUGCCAUGCUCUCCUCCAGGGGAUCUUCCUGCCCAGGGAUGGAACCCAGGGCUGUGUCUCCUGCAUUGGCAGGCAGAUUCUUCACCUCUGAGCCACCUGGAUGUCGGGAUCAGCCCAACAACAAACCGACCCGAGGGAGCGGUGCCGCAGAAGAAUAAAGAAAAAGAAGACUCAGAAAUAAGCAGUCUUCUCCAGGGCUGGACGUCAGAUGCUGUCCUUUGCAUGGAGCUAACGCCUCCUCCUGGACACUCUCCUGGCGAUUUGUGCAGAGUACCUGGGGCUGUGGGACUUGUGUGCAGCCCUCAAAACUGCGCCAGGUCAAAGUGUAAGGACCUGAUCUGCCAAGAGAGCACGCAGCAGCCCAGAGCCUGAGAGAGAGAGGUGGGGACGCUGCUCUUUUCCAGUCUUUGCUGCUCUGGCCCUUCACCCUUCCUGACCUAGCUGCACUGCCUACAUUUGGGUUUUGGUAGAUACUAAUAUUUUACUUGGUCCUGCUUUAUGAACUUUUUUUUUUUGUCUUGCCACACCCUUUGUAUGACAUAUUACUGUCCUCCAAUCUUAUUUGCGGUCCCAUUUCUUGGGCAUCUUUUAGCCUCUCUCUGUGAUCUGCCUGGGCUUCCCAGGUGGCUCAGAGGUAAAGAACCUGCCUGCCAAUUCAAGAGACACAAGAGACGCAGGUGAAUCCCCUCGGUUGGGAUGAUCCCCUGGAGAAAGGAAUGGCUACCCACUCCAGUAUUCUUGCCUAGACAAUCCCAUGCACAGAGGAGCUUGGCGGGCUACCAUCCACAGGGUAGCAAGGGUCAGACAUGAUUUAGUGACUAAACAACAUGAUCUGCCUCUGGGAUGUCUCAUGGAGCAGAAUAGUUUUAUUUUUCUUUCACCUCUUCUGCAAAUCUUUUACUUUCCACAAGGAAUGUAUGUCGUAGGAUCAGCAGUCCACCUCACCCAGGCGUUUGAUGGGAUAGUGUCUAAAUUAAGCUUGCCUGUGGUUUUCCACUUCCCCAUUCCUACACAGAUUGUGUUUUCCCUCUGUUCCUCUCCUUGCUCUUGUUUUCUCUUCUUCUGGAAAGUUCUGAGUGAGAACCUCCCGGUAUGCUGUCCUACUGGUGCUCACCUUUUAACGUUGGCCCAUGUAUCUAAGCCUACGCUCUCUGGGAGAUGUUAACACUCAGCGUCUCCACCUGUCUUCCCUCCACGGCCUGAGCUGGACACCGUGCUCCCUUCCUGCCCCCGAGGACGUCCUUCAGCACAUUUGACCUUGAAACCUUAGCCCUGCUUCUUACGGGCUGUGCAGUGCUGGCAAGCGAUUUUCUCUGGAAACUUCACUUUCCUCACCUGUAAGUGUCAGAGAACACAACAGCAUCCAACGGGGUCAUACAGAAUUUUUAAAUUUAGGGUUUGUUGGACAGGGUAGUAAAGGAGGAAUAUGUGAUCACUUAUGUGUGGAAUCUAAAAAAAUAAAUGACUGAAUAAAACAAAUCAGAAACAGACUCACAGAUAUAGAGAGCAAACUAGCGGUCACCAGCGGGGUAAGGGGAGUAAGGAAGGAAAAGGGGUCAAGAGGCACAAGCCACUGUGUGAAUAAGUGAGCUGCAAGGACACACUACACAGCCCAGGGAAAGGGCCAAGCUUUUGCAAUAACUUUAAAGGAAGUAUAAUCUGUAAAAAUUUUGAAUCACUACAUUAUAUACAUGACACUAAUAUUAUACAUCAGCUAUAAGGAAGUAAAAGUCACUCAGUUGUGUCCUACUCUUUGCGACCCCAUGAACUAUACAGUCCAUGGAAUUCUCCAGGCCAGAAUACUGGAGUGGGUAGCCUUUCCCUUCUCCAGGGGAUCUUC